CUUGAAUGCCUGUGGGGGAAGCUAACUGUACCCAUUGCACUUAUUAAGUUUGUUUUUUAUUCCUGCACUGCUACACUAGUGCAAUAAGUAAGAAUGAGAAAAAAUAUAUUUGUCUUAUUCUAACUUAUUGCACCAGUGCAGCAGUGCAGGAAUAAAAAACAAACCUAUUACGUCGUUGAUCGUAAAAUUGUGGUUCGUCGCGCCGUGUUAACGCGGUUCGGGAGUGCCGACCGAUUGAAUUGAAAACGAACCGUAGCCGGCUCGUCGUGUCGCGCGUUUGCUUCGGGAGUGUCGUUCAAGUAAAUGGACUAAAAGGGCUGUCUAGUCUAAUUAGUUCUACGCGCGAUCGUAGUAUAUUCGGUUAUUCGCGAGUGUCCUGUGCAACGAGAGGAGGAGGAGGCCUGGGAAAGGCAUUGGGCCCCGGCAGAGCAACUUUGAGAAUCAUCGUAGCGACGUUGCUGAAUAUCUCUGCCGCUGCGCAUCGAUCGGUGAGUGAUGAAUAAACUUUUAAAAUUGGAGUAAUAGAUCUGUGACAAAAUUGUACUUCAUAUAUAAUGUAGAAAUGUUUGCUAUAAUGCUGCAAUAAUAAAUAACAUUUAGAUAUCAUAUUUAUUUCAUGGAUCUAUUGCUUUAAAGUGGAUUGACUAAAACAGAUCAGGAUUUAACAUUUAAUCCUGAAUGAAUGAUAUACAUUAACUUAUCAUGCAUAUUUAAUUUAUUAAAUAAUUUUUUUCGACGCCGUUGCAGUCUCGGCGAGGGUUAGGUAUGUGUUCAACAUCAUCAAAUAUAAAUUACAAGUAUAAUAAAAAAUAUAUAAUGUAUCUUGCACGUAUGCGCACAAUUAGAAACUGCGCGCCGUUUCGUCUCUGAUAAAUUCCGUCAAAUAACUAAAAUAGAAUAAAAUAAAUGCCGAUCAACUAAAUUUAACUAUAAACUUGAAAUGUUUUAAACUCCCUUUUAAAAUUUUAUUUCUUUCUGGGGUAAUAACAGCCGCUAUAAUUAAUCAUACGAAUAGGUAGAAAUAUUAAUAUAUAGAAAUAUGUAAAAAAUAAAUAGGUAUUAGAAAAUAGAUAGAAAACGGAUAAGAAUACUCUAUGUAAAUAGAUACGAAAAAAUUAUGUAAAUGCUUUUUUUAAUUUUAUAGAAACAAUCUGUGUAAUUAAAAAUUAUAUGAUUGUUGUUGUUAUAAUGUUAUGUAAUUAAAAAUUAUAUACUAAUGCCCGAUAUAUUACAGGAAAUCAGAACAUGAUAUACGAUAAUACAUCACAAUUUAUUAAAUUAGCGUGUUAAAUUUAUAUACUUUUCACUUUAUAUUUUCUUAAUAUUUUAAUGUUUGUUCUUAAUUUUCUUCUAAUUUUGUUUUUAAACUUUUAUUCUUUGUUUAUAUCUUUAUUCUUUAAUACCAGAAUAUUUAAUACAAAUGGUGAAUUUUAAUAUUGUUGUAUUUAUUUCGUCGCUUUUAUGUAAUGUGGUGAAAAUAUAUUGUAAAAUGUAUUGUAAAAUAUUUUAUAAUUUGUAAUUUAUUAAUUUUAUUUUUAAUAUUUAAUAUGAAAUAAAUUCUAACUUAUAUAAAUUGUAAUAAAUAUAUUGUAAAAUUAUACUGUAUUCUUUAUGCAUUUGCUGUAAAUUUAUUUUACUAUGUUGUAUUAUUGAAUUAUGUAACAAAAAAUAACAAUAAAAUAAAGAAAACACAUUUAAAGAAAGAGGACCGUCGACUAAGAAUCGACGGGGGUGGUGGAGGGCCUCUACAGGUUGAUCCGUUUUUACCGAGUAAAAUUUUAAUUAGAAAUUACAUUAAAAACAUAAUCUUUAGUUAAGAAAAUGUUGUCAUUUAUCCUGUAAAAUUUCAUUUGGUAAAAACAGAUCAAAUUUAACCAAAAUAUAUUCAAUCACAAUAAUAUACGGUAAAAACAAAACAAUUAUUUAUAAAAAAAUUUACAUUGCUUGAUUUUUACUUGCGAUUAUCGACGAACAAAAAAA
rnacentral:lncRNA from 1 species